AUGUCGUGGCUCUCGCACCCCUCGGGCAGGCCCAGCGCGGGCCCCGGAAACUCGAGCUCGGCGAAGUCGACGGCGAGCCCGGCGCGGCCGGCGUGCUCUAGGACGGCCCUGCUGCGCGCGGCGUGGACGGGGGUCAGGACGACGGUGACGCGCGCGCCGCAGCGGCCGGCGAUGAGGCGCGCCAUGUCCAUCAUGGGGAUGACGUGGCCCUGCGCGAGGAGCGGCACCAGCACGAAGUGGAGCUUGAGCGGCAGUGCCGCUGCCGCCAUGGCCGGGCCGUCCGUACGGCAAGACAUGGCGAGCAGCUGCAAAGAUGGAUGCUGCUACAAUCCACUCAGGUGGCGCUCCACCGGUUGCAUAUGUGCACGAGGUUGGUCAGGGAGACGCCGCGGGUAA
rnacentral:rRNA from 1 species